UGUAUGCAAAUAUAAUAUUUUGUAUACAUAUUAGUAAUAGCUGUGUUGUAAAUGUACUAUUGUUUUACGAGUAUACAUAGAGUAAAAUACUAGAGUUUGAGAAAAAUGUAGACUACAUCAGUGAAAUCUUAUGAUUGUCAGUUUUGUGAAAGUAACCUCUACUGUACGUGUACUUGUAUAAUUGAUGUUUCAGGUGUGCUGUUAGAAUUCAUUACGAUGUGCUUGGUCUCUGGCCUCCUGAUGAAAAAUUGGUAGUCUGACAAAAAAAUUGGUUGCUGUUGGCUCAGCUUCGCAAGUCACUGAAGGAGAUGAGCUACAGAUGCCCACUCUUGCAAAAAAACCAUGAUGGUAUUUAUGAUUAAGAGCCUAUUUUCCGGUUUUCGCUUCCCAUAUCUUCUAUUUCCAUGUCUGGAGACUUGUUGUACAAACCAUUUUGGGAUUCAGUGUUUAGACUUGAGAGGAUGGACUUAAAGGUAAUGGGUGUCACUUUUGAUGGUCUUUCAAUUAAUCGCCGUCUUUUGAAGAUUCAUGGUCAAUCAUUUAAGUGCAUGAAUAAAGUGAAGAAUGUAUAUGCUACUGAGGAAAGCACAUCUAAUUAAAACAACUCAAAACUGCUGGGAUUUUAAAGUACGGUCAUAAUGGGUAUGUGAUUGACUUAAAUUAAACAUGUCAAAUGCAUUAUAUAUUAUUAGUGUAAGGAAAAGGAUAUUUCUUGGGAUCACCUGAAAAGAUUGUAUGAGUCAGAUAAAAGGAAAGCAUCAGGCCUUUCAAUGGCUCACAAAUUAAAGCACGAGCAUAUCUAUUUAAAUUCAUUCUCUAAGAUGCGUGUUGAUCUAGCAUCACAGGCACUGAGUAACUCUGUUUCAAUGGCUUUCAGUGAUGUUAGUACUGGGGAUGAAGCAUUGGAAACAUCAUUGUUUGCAUCUAUGUUUAAUAGAUUUGUUGACAUGCUCAAUGUCAGUAAUUUUACCAAUGGCACUAGAUAAAAACCCCAAUUUAUACCCAUACAGACAUGGUAAUGAUCAUAUGUUAAAGGGGGUUGUUAACUGUGCAUAUACAUAAUUACACCUAGCUAUAAUUGUAAUAGUGGUUAGAACAAGAUUUUAUUCAAUUUCUUGAU
rnacentral:lncRNA from 1 species